AUGGAGGAUCUGUCAGAGGAAGGGCGUUCGAUCUACGAGUUGCUCAAGGGCGACAUGGCCGGAACCAUCAACAAGCGGCUUCAGGAGCAGAGGAAUGAUUUGGUUCAGGCCGUCCGCAAGAUGCUCGACGAAACAUCUGCCAGCUUGGAAGAGGUCAUCGCUAAGCAAGUCGACACAAUUCGGGAGGAUCUCAUUGGCGAGAUCAACCAGGUACGAGCCGAAAUCGAGAAGGUCAAGGAAAACAGACAGGAUCUGGGAUCAAGCCGCGCGAUUACGCCUAAGAGGCUGUUCUCUUGGCAUCCUCUUGUAGCCUCUUGGCAUCGUCAUGCAUAUGUAUAUAUGUUGGCAUUGGCCUCCUAA
rnacentral:rRNA from 1 species